rfam:Salmo salar isolate Sally breed double haploid chromosome ssa01, whole genome shotgun sequence.
UGCAUGCAUGAAUGUAAGUCGCUUUGGAUAAAAGCAUCUGCUAAAUAGCAUAUU